rnacentral:rRNA from 1 species
UAUACAUGCAGUCGAACGCACAGCGAAAGGUGCUUGCACCUUUCAAGUGAGUGGCGAACGGGUGAGUAACACGUGGACAACCUGCCUCAAGGCUGGGGAUAACAUUUGGAAACAGAUGCUAAUACCGAAUAAAACUUAGUGUCGCAUGACAAAAAGUUAAAAGGCGCUUCGGCGUCACCUAGAGAUGGAUCCGCGGUGCAUUAGUUAGUUGGUGGGGUAAAGGCCUACCAAGACAAUGAUGCAUAGCCGAGUUGAGAGACUGAUCGGCCACAUUGGGACUGAGACACGGCCCAAACUCCUACGGGAGGCUGCAGUAGGGAAUCUUCCACAAUGGGCGAAAGCCUGAUGGAGCAACGCCGCGUGUGUGAUGAAGGCUUUCGGGUCGUAAAGCACUGUUGUAUGGGAAGAACAGCUAGAAUAGGAAAUGAUUUUAGUUUGACGGUACCAUACCAGAAAGGGACGGCUAAAUACGUGCCAGCAGCCGCGGUAAUACGUAUGUCCCGAGCGUUAUCCGGAUUUAUUGGGCGUAAAGCGAGCGCAGACGGUUUAUUAAGUCUGAUGUGAAAGCCCGGAGCUCAACUCCGGAAUGGCAUUGGAAACUGGUUAACUUGAGUGCAGUAGAGGUAAGUGGAACUCCAUGUGUAGCGGUGGAAUGCGUAGAUAUAUGGAAGAACACCAGUGGCGAAGGCGGCUUACUGGACUGCAACUGACGUUGAGGCUCGAAAGUGUGGGUAGCAAACAGGAUUAGAUACCCUGGUAGUCCACACCGUAAACGAUGAACACUAGGUGUUAGGA